AUUGAACGCUGGCGGCAGGCCUAACACAUGCAAGUCGAGCGGAGCGGCGGACGGGGGAGUAAUGCCUAGAAAUCUGCCUGGACGUGGGGGCUAACGUCGGGAAAGGGGCGCUAAUAGCGCCUACUAUCAUAUGAGCCUAGGUAGGAUUAGCUAGUUGGUGGGGUAAAGGCCUGCCAGGGCAACGACCCGUAACUGGUCGGAGAGGAUGAUCAGGCACACUGGAACAUAGACACGGUCCAUACUCCGAGGGGAGGCAGCAGGGGGGAAGAUUGGGCUAUGGGCGAAAGCCUGAUCCAGCCAUGCCGCGUGGGUGAGGAAGGUCUUCGGAUUGUAAAGCUCUUUAAGUUGGGAGGCGUUACCAACAGAAUAAGCACCGGCUAACUUCGUGCCAGCAGCCGCGGUAAUAC
rnacentral:rRNA from 1 species